rnacentral:rRNA from 1 species
UACGUAGGUGACAAGCGUUGUCCGGAUUUACUGGGCGUAAAGGGCGCGUAGGCGGCCGAUCAAGUCAGAUGUGAAAGUCCUGGGCUUAACCUGGGGACUGCAUUUGAUACUGAUUGGCUUGAAUUCGGGAGAGGAUAGCGGAAUUCCCAGUGUAGAGGUGAAAUUCGUAGAUAUUGGGAAGAACACCGGUGGCGAAGGCGGCUAUCUGGACCGACAUUGACGCUGAGGCGCGAAAGCGUGGGGAGCAAACAGG